GAUAUUGGUACUUAUAUAUCAUAUAUAUACAGUUGCAUGUGUUAUUUAUAUGGAUUUAGUACGUGUUGGGAGCAGUUUUUGUUGCUUAUAUGCAUUUCAUGACAUGUAAUAGGAAAAUUGAAAACUUAAAAGGCACGAAUGAACUUAUCUCAUCUCACCAUUUAUUAUAUUAGAUUAGAUAAUAGUUAUCAUACAUAAAGAGAUGGAUGACCUUUUAUAUAUACUCACUCCAUGAGUAAUACAUAGGUCAUACUAUUUAUUUAGGUGAGAAUUAAUAAUAUUUAUUAAC
rnacentral:lncRNA from 1 species